rnacentral:lncRNA from 1 species
UCUUUGCCUGCUGUUAUCCACAUAAGAUGUGACUUGCUUCUCCUUGCCUUCAGUCAUGAUUGUGAGGCUUCCCCAGCCACGUGGAACUGUCUGGAGGCAUAGGAAGAAAAAGUGGUUUCAUGGGCCAGGUCCAGCUUCCCUGAGCUGUGUGCAGCCAAGAGACUUGAUGCCCUGCGUUCCAGCUGCUCCAGCCAUGGCUGAAAGGGCCAACGUAGAGUUCAGACCAUGUCUUCAGAUGGUGCGAGCCCCAAGCCUUGGCAGCUUCCAUGUGGUGUUGAGCCUGUAGGUGCACAGAAGUCAAGAAUUGAGGUUUUGGAACAUCUACCUAGAUUUCAGAAGAUGUAUGGAAAUGCCUGGAUGCCCAGGUAGCAGUUUGCUGCAGGGGUGGGGCUCUCAUGGAGAACCUCUGCUAGGGCAGUGCAGAAGGAAAAUGUGGGGUCAGAGCCCCCACACAGAGUCCCUACUGGGGCACUGCCUAGUGGAGCUGUGAGAAAAGGGCCACUGUCCCCCAGACAGUGAAGCUGUCAUAAUCCACCGACAGCUUGCACUGUGCACCUGGAAAAGCCGCAGACACUCAACACCAGCCCAUGAAAGUGACUGGGAGGGAGGCUGUACCCUGCAAAGCCACAGGGGCAGAGCUUCCCAAGACUAUGGGAACCUACCUUUUCAUCAAUGUGACCUGGAUGUGAGACAUGGAGUCAAAGGAGAUAACUUUGGAGCUCUGAGAUUUGACUGCCUCUCUGGAUUUCUGAUUUGCGUGGGGCCUGUAGCGCUUUUGUUUUGGCCAAUUUCUCCCACUUGGAAUGGCUCUAUUUACCCAAUGUCUGUAUCCCCAUUGUAUCUAGGAAAUAACUAGCUUCCUUUGAUUUUACAGGCUCAUGGGCGGAAGGGACUUGCCUUGCCUCAGAUGAGACUUUGGACUGUGGACUUUUGAGUUAAUGCUGAAAUGAGUUAAGACUUUGGGGGACUGUUGGGAAGACAUGAUUGGUUUUGAAAUGUGAGGACAUGAGAUUUGGCAGGAACCAGGGGUGGAAUGAUAUGGUUUAGCUCUGUGUCCCCACCCAAAUCUCAUCUUGAAUUGUACUCCCAUAAUGCCCACGUGUUGUGGGAGGGACCUGGUGGGAGAUAAUUGAAUCAUGGAGGCAGUUUUACCCAUACUGUUCUCAUGGUAGUGAAUAAGUCUCAUGAGAUCUUAUGGUUUUAUCAAGGGUUUUUGCUUUUGCAACUUCCUCAUUUUCUCUUUGCCUGCUGCCAUCCACGUAAGAUGUGACUUGCUCCUCUUUGCCUUCCAUCAUGAUUGUGAGGCUUCUCCAGCCAUGUGGAACUGAAGGAAAAAGAAAAGAAGGAAGGAAAAAGAAAAGGAAGGAAAAAACCUGAAUAUUUUCUACAAUCAAACAAGAGAAAUUUUAACAACUUUUCAAGAAUAAGUGUAAUGUUUCCCAGACAAGAAUCUUUAAUAUAGUUGAGUAAACCAGAUACUCUAAACUACUCUUCUUUUAGCACUCAGCCCCCAUAAUGACAUAUUAUUGAAUCCACAUUUUGACACUAAUUAUGAUAAUUUUUCUAGAAGCAAAAUGGAGCAG